rnacentral:rRNA from 1 species
UACAUAGGUCCCAAGCGUUGUCCGGAAUUAUUGGGCGUAAAGAGCUCGUAGGCGGUUUGUCGCGUCUGCUGUGAAAACUCGGGGCUUAACUCCGGGCCUGCAGUGGGUACGGGCAGACUAGAGUGCGGUAGGGGAGACUGGAAUUCCUGGUGUAGCGGUGAAAUGCGCAGAUAUCAGGAGGAACACCGGUGGCGAAAGCGAGGCCCUGGACGGCUACUGACGCUGAGACGCGAAAGCCAGGGGAGCGAACGGG